UGCCAGACUCCUACGGGAGGCAGCAGUGGGGAAUAUUGCACAAUGGGGGAAACCCUGAUGCAGCAACGCCGCGUGAGUGAAGAAGUCAUUCGUGAUGUAAAGCUCUAUCAGCAGGGAAGAAAAUGACGGUACCUGAGUAAGAAGCCCCGGCUAACUACGUGCCAGCAGCCGCGGUAAUACGUAUGGGGCAAGCGUUAUCCGGAUUUACUGGGUGUAAAGGGAGCGUAGGCGGCCUGGCAAGCCUGAUGUGAAAUACCGGGGCCCAACCCCGGGGCUGCAUUGGGAACUGCCAGGCUGGAGUGCCGGAGAGGCAGGCGGAAUUCCUAGUGUAGCGGUGAAAUGCGUAGAUAUUAGGAGGAACACCAGUGGCGAAGGCGGCCUGCUGGACGGUGACUGACGCUGAGGCUCGAAAGCGUGGGGAGCAAACAGGAUUAGAUACCCCAGUA
rnacentral:rRNA from 1 species